CCUACGGGAGGCAGCAGAGAGGAAUAUUGGUCAAUGGACGCAAGUCUGAACCAGCCAAGUAGCGUGCAGGAUGACGGCCCUCCGGGUUGUAAACUGCUUUAGUGGGGAAUAAAAGGGGGCUCGUGAGCACCGUAUUGUAUGUACCAGCAGAAACAGGACCGGCUAAUUCCGUGCCAGCAGCCGCGGUAAUACGGAAGGUCCGGGCGUUAUCCGGAUUUUGUGGGUUUAAAGGGAGCGUAGGCCGGCGUUUAAGUCAGCUGUGAAAGUCCGCGGGUCAACCGUGGAAUUGCAGUUGAAACUGGCGGCCUGGAGUGCACACAGGGAUGCCGGAAUUCAUGGUGUAGCGGUGAAAUGCUUAGAUAUCAUGAAGAACUCCGAUCGCGAAGGCAAGUGUCCGGGGUGCAACUGACGCUGAGGCUCGAAAGUGCGGGUAUCAAACAGGAUUAGAUACCGGAGUAGUC
rnacentral:rRNA from 1 species